UACGGAGGGUGCAAGCGUUAUCCGGAUUCACUGGGUUUAAAGGGUGCGUAGGUGGGUUGGUAAGUCAGUGGUGAAAUCUCCAGGCUUAACUUGGAAACUGCCAUUGAUACUAUCAAUCUUGAAUACCGUGGAGGUCAGCGGAAUAUGUCAUGUAGCGGUGAAAUGCUUAGAUAUGACAUAGAACACCAAUUGCGAAGGCAGCUUACUACAUAGUUAUUGACACUGAGGCACGAAAGCGUGGGGAUCAAACAGG
rnacentral:rRNA from 1 species